ensembl:snRNA U6 U6 spliceosomal RNA
GUGCUCACUUCAGCAGCACAUAUACUAAAACUAGAACUUUACAGAGAGGAUUAGUAUGACCCAUGCUAGAGGAUGACACACAAAUUUGUGACGCAUUCCACAUUUUU